rnacentral:rRNA from 1 species
UUCUAAACUUAAUUUUAUUGAAACCUGUACCAAGAACGGACACACGUCCCCAAGAUGAGUAUUCUAAGGCGAGCGAGAAAACUAGUGUUAAGGAACUCUGCAAAAUGACCCCGUAAGUUCGCAAGAAGGGGCGCCUAUGGUAACACAUAGGCCACAGUAAAUUAUGAGGGGCAACUGUUUAUCAAAAACACAACUCUCUGCUAAACCGCAAGGUGAUGUAUAGGGGGUGAAGCCUGCCCAGUGCCCGAAGGUUAAGUGGAUGCGUUAGCUUAUGCGAAGCGUUGAAAUGAAGCCCGGGUGAACGGCGGCCGUAACUAUAACGGUCCUAAGGUAGCGAAAUUCCUUGUCGGCUAAAUACUGACCUGCACGAAAGGCAUAAUGAUCUCUCAACUGUCUCAACACUAGACUCGGUGAAAUUAUGGUCCCAGUGAAAACGCUGGGUUCCCGCAUCAAGACGAAAAGACCCCAUGGAGCUUUACUAUAACUUCGUAUUGGAAUUUGGCCUAACAUGUGUAGGAUAGGUGGGAGACUUUGAAGCUGAGACGCCAGUAGCAGUGGAGUCAACCUUGAAAUACCACCCUUGUUAUGUUGAAUUUCUAACUUACCAUCAUAAUCAGGUGGGAGGACAGUGCGUGGUGGGUAGUUUGACUGGGGCGGUCGCCUCCUAAAGAGUAACGGAGGCGUUCAAAGGUACACUCAGUACGGUCAGAAACCGUAUGUAGAGCGCAAAGGCAGAAGUGUGCUUGACUGUGAGACAUACAAGUCGAGCAGGUGCGAAAGCAGGACUUAGUGAUCCGGCUGUACAUUGUGGAAUGGCAGUCGCUCAACGGAUAAAAGUUACCCUGGGGAUAACAGGCUAAUCUUGCCCAAGAGAUCACAUCGACGGCAAGGUUUGGCACCUCGAUGUCGGCUCAUCGCAUCCUGGAGCUGGAGUCGGUUCCAAGGGUUGGGCUGUUCGCCCAUUAAAGCGGUACGCGAGCUGGGUUCAAAACGUCGUGAGACAGUUUGGUCCCUAUCUGAUGUGGGCGUUGGAAUAUUGAUGAGAGCCGCUCUUAGUACGAGAGGACCGGAGUGGACGUACCGCUGGUGUUCCAGUUGUUCCGCCAGGAGCAUGGCUGGGUAGCUAAGUACGGAAAGGAUAACCGCUGAAAGCAUCUAAGUGGGAAGCCUCCUCAGAGAUUAAUAUUCCCUUGAAAUUCCUUAUAGACUAUGAGGUUGAUAGGCUGGAUGUGUAAGCACAGUAAUGUGUUGAGCUGACCAGUACUAAUAAAUUGAAAGGUUUAAAAG